UGUCUUCCGGGUCGGAAGGACACUUACGUAAAUCCUACGUAAACCCCACACGUACCACUGUCCUCGGGGAAGGGCACUCACGUAAAUCCUACGUGACCUUGUACGUAUUCCUGUUCUCGGAUUAAGAAGAACACAUGGUUGCAAAUAGUCUAGACCUUAGGUACUUAUGGAGCUUGCACAAGGAGGAGCAGGUCGUUGUGGGCAAAUGGAUCGUGAUUACUUAUUAA
rnacentral:lncRNA from 1 species